AUGUCAUGAUGAGGACAUUUUCUGAGCAUCUCCUUAAAUCUAUCCCAUCCCUCAUAUAAUUGCUUGGAUUCCAUCUGCCUAAAUGGAGUGAUCUCAACCCUUAGUUG